UGUUGUUAGUAUAUUUUGUGUGUCGAUUAACGAUAACAGCCGGCAUUUAUUGUGUAUGGCCGCCGCCAGUUGGCGCUGAAGUGCUCUAGGUGCCACCUGAUGUGCUAGAAAACGUCAAACGCGUGGCAGUUCCGCAUACUGCAACAAUUUUUUUUUGUUUACGUUUACACUGAAGUUAUUACUGCGUUGCAUUUGCAUUUAUUGCGGUCGCGUUGCAUAUUGCUCACACAUAUAGAUAGAAGCAUACACGCAGACUCGUACAUUGACAUCGCAUCUGAAAUCAAAAAUUCUUAAGCGGCCGCUAGCUGCUGCUGGGCUAAUUGCUGUUCGGCUUUUUUUUAUACGAUUUUGGUUUACAUUGCUGUCGCGUAGCCGCUGCUACUACUGCGACGACGACGUUGACGUUGACGCCAACGCCAAUACAGAGAUACGUCGACACGUCAACA